AACGAACGCUGGCGGCAUGCCUAACACAUGCAAGUCGAACGAGACCUUCGGGUCUAGUGGCGCACGUGUGCUUAACGCGUGGGAACCUGCCCUUAGGUUCGGAAUAACUCCCCGAAAGGGGUGCUAAUACCGGUUAAUGUCUUCGCACCAAAGAUUUAUCGCCUUGGGAUGGGCGCGCGUUGGAUUAGCGAGUUGGUAGGGUAAAAGCCUGCCAAGGAGACGAUGCAUAGCUGGUCUGAGACGAUGAUCAGUCACGCUGGAAAUGCGGCACGGACCAGUCUGCUAGGCGAGGGAGGAGUGGAGAAUAUUGGGCAAUGGGGGAAGGUCUGAUAAAGCAAUGCGGGGUGAGAGGUGAAGGGGGUAGGGUUGUAAAGCUGUUUUAGACGAGACGAUAAUGACAGUACUGGGAGAAUAAGCACCGGCUAACUCCGUG
rnacentral:rRNA from 1 species